rnacentral:rRNA from 1 species
AGAGCGAACGCUGGCGGCAGGCUUAACACAUGCAAGUCGAGCGGGCGUAGCAAUACGUCAGCGGCAGACGGGUGAGUAACGCGUGGGAACGUACCUUUUGGUUCGGAACAACCCAGGGAAACUUGGGCUAAUAACCGGAUAAGCCCUUACGGGGAAAGAUUUAUCGCCGAAAGAUCGGCCCGCGUCUGAUUAGCUAGUUGGUGAGGUAAUGGCUCACCAAGGCGACGAUCAGUAGCUGGUCUGAGAGGAUGAUCAGCCACAUUGGGACUGAGACACGGCCCAAACUCCUACGGGAGGCAGCAGUGGGGAAUAUUGGACAAUGGGCGCAAGCCUGGAUCCAGCCAUGCCGCGUGAGUGAUGAAGGCCCUAGGGUUGUAAAGCUCUUUUGUGCGGGAAGAUAAUGACGGUACCGCAAAGAAUAAGCCCGGACUAACUUCGUGCCAGCAGCCGC